GAUGAAGAACGCAGCGAAAUGCGAUAAGUAAUGCGAAUUGCAGAAUUUCCGUGAGUCAUCGAAUCUUUGAACGCACAUUGCGCCCACUGGUAUUCCGAGGGGCAUGCCUGUUCGAGCGUCAUUAUAACCCCUCAAGCUCAGCUUGGUGUUGGGGCCUGCUGCACUGGCAGCCCUUAAAAUCAGUGGCGGCGCCAUCUGGCUCUAAGCGUAGUAAUUCUUCUCGCUAUGGAGUCCUGGUGGAUGCUUGCCAUCAACCCCCAAUUUUUCUAUGGUUGACCUCGGAUCAGGUAGGGAUACCCGCUGAACUUAAGCAUAUCAAUAAGCGGAGGA
rnacentral:misc_RNA from 1 species